GAUGAACGCUGGCGGCGUGCCUAAUACAUGCAAGUCGAGCGAACGGACGAGAAGAUUGCUUCUCUGAUGUUAGCGGCGGACGGGUGAGUAACACGUGGAUAACCUACCUAUAAGACUGGGAUAACUUCGUGAAACCGUAGCUAAUACCGGAUAAUACUUUGAACCGCAUGGUUCAAAAGUGAAAGACGGUCUUGCUGUCACUUAUAGAUGGAUCCGCGCUGCAUUAGCUAGUUGGUAAGGUAACGGCUUACCAAGGCAACGAUGCGUAGCCGACCUGAGAGGGUGAUCGGCCACACUGGAACUGAGACACGGUCCAGACUCCUACGGGAGGCAGCAGUAGGGAAUCUUCCGCAAUGGGCGAAAGCCUGACGGAGCAACGCCGCGUGAGUGAUGAAGGUCUUCGGAUCGUAAAACUCUGUUAUUAGGGAAGAACAUAUGUGUAAGUAACUGUGCACAUCUUGACGGUACCUAAUCAGAAAGCCACGGCUAACUACGUG
rnacentral:rRNA from 1 species